AUGAGUGCUCAUGGGACUUUGGAACUGCUCAUCGUGGAUAGCUCGUCGGCGUGCCCACCAGAUCGCCCAUUAGAGUUAACUAAACCCUUUUCCCUUGAGGAGAUUAAAGCUGCUCUCUUUGCUAUUGAGCCUAAUCGUGCACCUGGCCCAGAUAGUGUACCUGCUGAAUUCUACCAGCACUGCUGGGAUGUUGUUUGCAUGGAUCUCCUUAGGCUUUUUGAGUGGUUUCAUGAGGGCAGACUAGAUGUGCAACGCUUAAAUUAUGGCAUUAUCACCCUUUUGCCUAAAACCUCGGAGGCCAAUAGAAUACAAUAGUACAGACCUAUUUGCUUGUUGCGAUGCCCUUAUAAGCUGAUCACCAAGGUCAUGGAUAGGAGAGCGAGUGUGUAUGCCCCCAAACUGUUUAGUAUACAGCAGAAUGCCUUCAUAAAAAGGAGGGACAUUAUGGACGGGAUCCUAUCGCUACAUGAAGUCAUUCAUUAUACUCAUGUGAAAAAAAGAACGGGGAUUGUCCUUAAGCUUGACUUCAAAAAAGCGUAUGACAAGGUCAAUUGGGAUUUCCUUCUUGAUUGUCAUAGUAAGAGAGGCUUCAAUUCUAAGUGGUGUGGGUGGGUGUCCCAGAUUCUUCGUGAUGGCACGGUUAGUGUCACAAUCAAUGAUGAGCUCGGGCCCUAUAUUCAAAGUGCCAAAGGGGUGCGUCAGGGUGACCCUCAUUCCCCUUUUUUGUUCAAUAUGGCCGCUGAGUGUCUGACCAAGAUGGUCCUGGCUGCCCAAAAAAAUAAGUUGUUCGAGGGGCUCACGUCUGAUCUUAUUGAGGGGGGAGUGGGAAUAUUGCAAUAUGCAGAUGAUACAGUUAUUUGCUUCUUCCAUGAUGUGGACAAGGCAGUAAAUGUUAAGCUGCUUCUCUAUUUGUUUGAAUUGAUGUCUGGGCUUAAAAUUAAUUUUGAUAAAAGCGAGGUUUUUUCGAUCGGUGGGGACAAUGAUAUCGAUCAAUUUUAUGCUGGGAUGUUUGGGUGCCAGAUUGGCAAGUUUCCUAUGAGAUAUUUGGGGGUCCCAGUGACGUAUGUCAUGCUUAAAACUGUGGACUAG
rnacentral:rRNA from 1 species